UUUCUUCUGUCAUCCGGGGUGAUUUGAAUGUUUGGAAAUUUCUUCAUCUCGGGGUUGUGGAGUAGAACUCAUUCCCAUUUCCAUGAAGUUUCCAAGUGUCGGUGAAAAAUUCAAACGCCGUCUUCCUUCUUCGGUCAUCCGGGGUGAUUUGAAUGUGUACAUGUUUGGGGAAUUUCUUCAUCUCGGGGUUGUGGAGUAGAACUCAUUCCCAUUUCCGUGAAGUUUCCAAGUGUCGGUGAAAUAAUCUAAUGUCAGGUGUGGAUUAUCCCAUUCUCCGGUGAGUAGUUCCGUGAUUUCCAUAUCUCGAUGAAUCAUGCCAUAUUAUUUCAGAGGGACGUCGAAGUUCCCAGUCAGAUGAGUCGAAACCAUUCCAAACUCAUUGAUAUACUGGUUGAUUUACCUGUGGAUAUUACAAGGAAUCAGUGACUGUAUGGUGAAAUUUUCAGAACGGUGAAAAUUCUUCCAGUUAUACAGUUUAAAUUAUCUAUAGGAAAAUUGAAAUGGAAUCCAAAUGUCCACCAGAGUAAUAAUUGACAGGCCAUGAUGUCCAACUCUUCUAGUACUUCUUCCUUGGAUGAUGACAUGAUUAAAUCUUCAGGACUGACUGAUUACAUGUCUUCGGUGGAAUUGGGCCUACAGCUGAUCAUCCGAUGAAAGGUGUGUUGCCUAUCUCCAGCAUUUAUUCUCAUCGGUGUUGCAGUAUGGGAGACCUGUGCAGUUGGCAGUGGGAGUUCAUCAUCUUCCAAAUCUAUCAGUGAUGUCUUCAGUUGUGCAACCUUGGUUGGUUGAAUGGGAGACAUCUCAGGCGACUGUGGAAUCUCUGCCUCCAAAAGCGAUCCAUCCGGUCGGGUUGAUGGUUGCUGUCUGUCAGCAGUCAACGUUGCCUCCAAUGAACUCAAGGCCCGAGCUGCAGUCUCCUUUAAGUGUUCUAUCAUCUGUGACUCGGUUUCAUUUUUAGUGAUAAUAAAAUUCAGUCUUCUCUGAA